rnacentral:lncRNA from 1 species
UGUCAAUAGACACAAGCCCAUUAGCCUUAAAUGUAUUUUAAGCCUUGCUUUGGGUGGUGGAUACUUUUGAAUAAAUAGUUCCAUUUUAGCCAUAGGCUCUCAUCCACUUCUUUCAGCAGCAAGAAGACAUUAUGUACUCUCUACCACAAAAUCCUCUGAGUUCUGAUGGAAGAAAAGCCUUUGAGAAGGAGCAGGCCACCCAUGGAAGCAGCCAUCUAUCAUCUAUGCUCUAUGGAGAAACAGCUCUGCUGGCCAUGGGAAGCCAUGGAGACAGAAAAUCAAAGCUGAUUCAGAUGCUCUACACCACAGAGGAAUGUUUUCAUAAAUGGUGGAUGUCACUUCAGCUGGGGCUCCCUCUCAUUACAGUGUGAAGGGGCAAAGGAAAAUGAAGUGGAUCUCUAUGUCUGGACAUGGAAAGAUAUCUAAGAUGUUGUGAGAAGAAAAAAACCAAUUCUGUGAAUAUGAUAUACAAUUUUCAUUUGUAUACAAUUUACUGAUGUAGCAACCAUUUAAUAAGAAGCUGGGAAAGGCAUCUAGGGGAAAUCAAGGAGAGAAAAGAUUUAUCAUGUCUGACAAGAUGGCUUUGGAAAGGUUGUGGUCUAUCUCCUCACAUGCAUGGGACCAAAACAGUUUGCAGUAAAUUAAACAGGUAAAUGUUGGAGAAAGUUUUUGGCUUGUCUGUUUCUUUUUAAAAUAAACUUACUAUGUUUGUAAGCAUCCUAAAUAAAACAAAACUGCAUUUAUUUUUGUUUACAGAUGAAUAUAUUUCAGAUAUUUUAUGAAUUCAAACUGUCUCCUGAAGUAGUUUGAGCUAGGAAGAUUCAUUGGAGGUUGACUUGAGACGUUGGACAAUAGCAUUUGCUGCAUAUAUUACAUCUUUUUACAUCAUCUUUCCUCUGCUUUUAGUGUCUUUUAUUAUAAUUUGUGGUGGGCAAAUUCCAACAUCCUAUAAGACUGAGUUCAAAUGUCAUUUCUCCACUGUGAAGAUUCACUCUGGAUAAAGUUAAUUUUCCCCAAUGCUUUACCAAGUGGUAGCCUAGUGGUAAAAAUCACAGAAUUUGACUUGAC